CACUAUCGUUAACUGAAUACAUAGGUUAACGAGGCGAACCGGGGGAACUGAAACAUCUAAGUACCCCGAGGAAAAGAAAUCAACCGAGAUUCCCCCAGUAGCGGCGAGCGAACGGGGAGCAGCCCAGAGUCUGAAUCAGCUUGUGUGUUAGUGGAACGGUCUGGAAAGUCCGACGGUACAGGGUGAUAGUCCCGUACACCAAAAUGCACAGGCUGUGAACUCGAAGAGUAGGGCGGGACACGUGGUAUCCUGUCUGAAUAUGGGGGGACCAUCCUCCAAGGCUAAAUACUCCUGACUGACCGAUAGUGAACCAGUACCGUGAGGGAAAGGCGAAAAGAACCCCGGCGAGGGGAGUGAAAAAGAACCUGAAACCGUGUACGUACAAGCAGUGGGAGCACCUUCGGGUGUGACUGCGUACCUUUUGUAUAAUGGGUCAGCGACUUAUAUUCUGUAGCAAGGUUAACCGUAUAGGGGAGCCGCAGGGAAACCGAGUCUUAACUGGGCGUUAAGUUGCAGGGUAUAGACCCGAAACCCGGUGAUCUAGCCAUGGGCAGGUUGAAGGUUGGGUAACACUAACUGGAGGACCGAACCGACUAAUGUUGAAAAAUUAGCGGAUGACUUGUGGCUGGGGGUGAAAGGCCAAUCAAACCGGGAGAUAGCUGGUUCUCCCCGAAAGCUAUUUAGGUAGCGCCUCGUGAACUCAUCUUCGGGGGUAGAGCACUGUUUCGGCUAGGGGGUCAUCCCGACUUACCAACCCGAUGCAAACUACGAAUACCGAAGAAUGUUAUCACGGGAGACACACGGCGGGUGCUAACGUCCGUCGUGAAGAGGGAAACAACCCAGACCGCCAGCUAAGGUCCCAAAGUCAUGGUUAAGUGGGAAACGAUGUGGGAAGGCACAGACAGCCAGGAUGUUGGCUUAGAAGCAGCCAUCAUUUAAAGAAAGCGUAAUAGCUCACUGGUCGAGUCGGCCUGCGCGGAAGAUGUAACGGGGCUAAACCAUGCACCGAAGCUGCGGCAGCGACACUAUGUGUUGUUGGGUAGGGGAGCGUUCUGUAAGCCUGCGAAGGUGACCUGUGAGGGUUGCUGGAGGUAUCAGAAGUGCGAAUGCUGACAUAAGUAACGAUAAAGCGGGUGAAAAGCCCGCUCGCCGGAAGACCAAGGGUUCCUGUCCAACGUUAAUCGGGGCAGGGUGAGUCGACCCCUAAGGCGAGGCCGAAAGGCGUAGUCGAUGGGAAACAGGUUAAUAUUCCUGUACUUGGUGUUACUGCGAAGGGGGGACGGAGAAGGCUAUGUUAGCCGGGCGACGGUUGUCCCGGUUUAAGCAUGUAGGCUGAUUGUCCAGGCAAAUCCGGAUAAUCAAGGCUGAGGUGUGAUGACGAGGCACUACGGUGCUGAAGUAACAAAUGCCCUGCUUCCAGGAAAAGCCUCUAAGCAUCAGGUAACAUUAAAUCGUACCCCAAACCGACACAGGUGGUCAGGUAGAGAAUACCAAGGCGCUUGAGAGAACUCGGGUGAAGGAACUAGGCAAAAUGGUGCCGUAACUUCGGGAGAAGGCACGCUGGUGUGUAGGUGAAGCCCCUGCGGGUGGAGCUGAGACCAGUCGAAGAUACCAGCUGGCUGCAACUGUUUAUUAAAAACACAGCACUGUGCAAACACGAAAGUGGACGUAUACGGUGUGACGCCUGCCCGGUGCCGGAAGGUUAAUUGAUGGGGUUAUCCGUAAGGAGAAGCUCUUGAUCGAAGCCCCGGUAAACGGCGGCCGUAACUAUAACGGUCCUAAGGUAGCGAAAUUCCUUGUCGGGUAAGUUCCGACCUGCACGAAUGGCGUAAUGAUGGCCAGGCUGUCUCCACCCGAGACUCAGUGAAAUUGAACUCGCUGUGAAGAUGCAGUGUACCCGCGGCAAGACGGAAAGACCCCGUGAACCUUUACUAUAGCUUGACACUGAACAUUGAGCCUUGAUGUGUAGGAUAGGUGGGAGGCUUUGAAGCGUGGACGCCAGUCUGCGUGGAGCCAACCUUGAAAUACCACCCUUUAAUGUUUGAUGUUCUAACGUUGGCCCCUGACCGGGGUUGCGGACAGUGUCUGGUGGGUAGUUUGACUGGGGCGGUCUCCUCCCAAAGCGUAACGGAGGAGCACGAAGGUUAGCUAAUCCUGGUCGGACAUCAGGAGGUUAGUGCAAUGGCAUAAGCUAGCUUGACUGCGAGCGUGACGGCGCGAGCAGGUGCGAAAGCAGGUCAUAGUGAUCCGGUGGUUCUGAAUGGAAGGGCCAUCGCUCAACGGAUAAAAGGUACUCCGGGGAUAACAGGCUGAUACCGCCCAAGAGUUCAUAUCGACGGCGGUGUUUGGCACCUCGAUGUCGGCUCAUCACAUCCUGGGGCUGAAGUAGGUCCCAAGGGUAUGGCUGUUCGCCAUUUAAAGUGGUACGCGAGCUGGGUUUAGAACGUCGUGAGACAGUUCGGUCCCUAUCUGCCGUGGGCGCUGGAGAAUUGAGGGGGGCUGCUCCUAGUACGAGAGGACCGGAGUGGACGCAUCACUGGUGUUCGGGUUGUCAUGCCAAUGGCACUGCCCGGUAGCUAAAUGCGGAAGAGAUAAGUGCUGAAAGCAUCUAAGCACGAAACUUGCCCCGAGAUGAGUUCUCCCUGAGACUUUAAGUCUCCUGAAGGAACGUUGAAGACGACGACGUUGAUAGGCCGGGUGUGUAAGCGCAGCGAUGCGUUGAGCUAACCGGUACUAAUGAACCGUGAGGCUUAACCUU
rnacentral:rRNA from 1 species